rnacentral:rRNA from 1 species
UACGUAGGUGGCAAGCGUUGUCCGGAAUUAUUGGGCGUAACGCGCGCGCAGGCGGUCCUUUAAGUCUGCUGUGAAAGCCCACGGCUCAACCGUGGAGGGUCAUUGGAAACUGGGGGACUUGAGUGCAGGAGAGAAGAGUGGAAUUCCACGUGUAGCGGUGAAAUGCGUAGAGAUGUGGAGGAACACCAGUGGCGAAGGCGACUCUGUGGCCUGUAACUGACGCUGAGGCGCGAAAGCGUGGGGAGCGAACAGG